GAUGAACGCUGGCGGCGUGCCUAAUACAUGCAAGUCGAGCGAACAGACGAGGAGCUUGCUCCUCUGACGUUAGCGGCGGACGGGUGAGUAACACGUGGAUAACCUACCUAUAAGACUGGGAUAACUUCGGGAAACCGGAGCUAAUACCGGAUAAUAUAUUGAACCGCAUGGUUCAAUAGUGAAAGACGGUUUUGCCGUCACUUAUAGAUGGAUCCGCGCCGCAUUAGCUAGUUGGUAAGGUAACGGCUUACCAAGGCAACGAUGCGUAGCCGACCUGAGAGGGUGAUCGGCCACACUGGAACUGAGACACGGUCCAGACUCCUACGGGGGGCAGCAGUAGGGAAUCUUCCGCAAUGGGCGAAAGCCUGACGGAGCAACGCCGCGUGAGUGAUGAAGGUCUUCGGAUCGUAAAACUCUGUUAUUAGGGAAGAACAAAUGUGUAAGUAACUAUGCACGUCUUGACGGUACCUAAUCAGAAAGCCACGGCUAACUACGUG
rnacentral:rRNA from 1 species